rnacentral:rRNA from 1 species
AUUGAACGCUGGCGGCAGGCCUAACACAUGCAAGUCGAACGGUAACAGGAAGAAGCUUGCUUCUUUGCUGACGAGUGGCGGACGGGUGAGUCAUGUCUGGGAAACUGCCUGAUGGAGGGGGAUAACUACUGGAAACGGUAGCUAAUACCGCAUAACGUCGCAAGACCAAAGAGGGGGACCUUCGGGCCUCUUGCCAUCGGCUGUGCCCAGAUGGGAUUAGCUAGUAGGUGGGGUAACGGCUCACCUAGGCGACGAUCCCUAGCUGGUCUGAGAGGAUGACCAGCCACACUGGAACUGAGACACGGUCCAGACUCCUACGGGAGGCAGCAGUGGGGAAUAUUGCGCAAUGGGCGAAAGCCUGAUGCAGCCAUGCCGCGUGUAUGAAGAAGGCCUUCGGGUUGUAAAGUACUUUCAGCGGGGAGGAAGGGAGUAAAGUUAAUACCUGUGCUCAUUGACGUUACCCGCAGAAGAAGCACCGGCUAACUACGUG